UCUUAAGCAACUGCUUGGGCUUUCAAUGGUUAAGACUGCUCAAAGUUAUGCAGGUGCUUCAGUGCUUUGAUAAUUAGGGUCUUCAGAAGCAGAGACUAGGCUGUGAAGAGGAAAGGGUACAGUCAUUUUUCCUGGUCCUCGUACCCUUCCUGCUUUAGGGAGUCAUUUUGAAAUGCUAAAGGAUCAGCUCUGCAGCUGUAGGACUCCACCUCGGACAGCAAGCUGGGUGCCCGAGAUCGCCUCGAUGAACAAUCGCUCUCAUGGCGAAGUCCCAGCUCUGGCGCGCUCCUGAGAGAUGACAUGAGGAACGUCCCUUGUGCGUGGCGGUCGCCUGCUGCGAGAGUUGGCAACCCGGACAAACAAGGCACGCUGCUCCCUUGGGGUGAAGAGACGGGGAGGAUGUGUCCGAGGGAGAAUCAGUGGCUGAGCAAACGUGUGCAAGAAGCUGGGUGGAAAAGCACAUCGAAUUGUACUUCUGAGCACCCCGCGACGGGAUGCUAUUGUCAGCCAGAGACACUGGCAAGUCGGUCCCUGGUGAGCCGAGGCUCCCAGCUGCCCGCAGAUUUAUAAGGGAGCAGGGCAUCUCCAUCUGCUGAAACCACAGCCCUGUCUGCCUUCACGUGGGAGCGUGACUGGAGCAGUAAAAGGACCCGGCUCCAGAAGUCUAUCCCAACCCUGACGCUGAUCCAAUAAAAGAUACUACCCACAAAUAUCCUUGCCUGGAUCUUUCAUUCCUGUUUUGGAGCAGCGGAGAAACCUCUUACCUACCUACCUACCUCUUGUUGAAGCAUGAAGACUCCUACUCUCCUAGUGUUGGGGCUUUUACCCUUUUUAAGGAACCAGACAGGAAUAAUUGGAUACCAAACAACAAUGUUUUUUAGAUAUCCAGGAAAAGUGUAGCUAGAUCCAUACCGCACUGCCUAGUUUCAGGCUGGUUCCUAAAUCCUAGACUCCGGUGAACAUAUUUUUGGGAACUUGCAGAGUACUUGAAGGGGCCAAAUUUGAUCCCUGGUCCUUUAUAUUAAAGGUGGCUAAGCUGCAGCUUGCAAAUAGCAUAUGGCUCCUGGGUAGCUGACAUGCAGUUACCAAAGAAAUAACAGUAGUUAAAUAAAAACUUCCUCCU